UACAGGGGGUGCAAGCGUUGCUCGGAAUCACUGGGCGUAAAGCGUGCGCAGGCGGAACGUUAAGUCGGAUGUGAAAUCCCGGGGCUCAACCCCGGAACUGCAUUCGAAACUGGCGAUCUUGAGUGCGGCAGAGGUGAGUGGAAUUCCUGGUGUAGAGGUGAAAUUCGUAGAUAUCAGGAGGAACACCGGUGGCGAAGGCGGCAUCCUGGACCGGCAUUGACGCUGAGGCGCGAAAGCCAGGGGAGCAAACGGG
rnacentral:rRNA from 1 species